CUGCCGGCAUGCCUAACACAUGCAAGUCGAACGGUAACAGGUCUUUCGGGAUGCUGACGAGUGGCGGACGGGUGAGUAAUGCGUAGGAAUCUGCCUUUUAGUGGGGGACAACCUGGGGAAACUCAGAGCUAAUACCGCAUGUGGUCUAAGAGAUUAAAGCUGGGUUCGCCUGGCGCUAAAAGAGGAGCCUACGUCAGAUUAGCUAGUUGGUGGGGUAAAGGCCUACCAAGGCGAAGAUCUGUAGCUGGUCUGAGAGGAUGACCAGCCACACUGGGACUGAGACACGGCCCAGACUCCUACGGGAGGCAGCAGUGGGGAAUAUUGGACAAUGGGCGAAAGCCUGAUCCAGCAAUGCCGCGUGUGUGAAGAAGGCCUUAGGGUUGUAAAGCUCUUUCAAUUGUGAAGAUAAUGACGGUAGCAAUAGAAGAAGCUCCGGCUAAAUUCGUGCCAGCAGCCGCGGUAAUACGAAUGGAGCAAGCGUUGUUCGGAA
rnacentral:rRNA from 1 species